UAUGCCCUUCUUUACAUGGUGUCAGAGAGAGCUGGUGCGCAAGAUACUCAUUCUCCAGGAGGAGGGCAAAGUCUCUCCAGACGUGUCUGUGACUGACUUAAUUGAAUGGUUGGUCUUCCAUGACCAGGAUAACUUGCAAGAAGACAUGGGCAGGCCUGGACCGAGGAAGCCACAGAGUUGCAGCAGUAAUGUUUUGAAGCUGCCAAAAGUGAACACACAAAACAAGUCUCUUAAAAAGUCUCACUGCAAUGACACCCGGCACAUGCUGAAGGAGGUGGCAGAGGAUGCGCAGAGAGAGCUGAGGCUAGAACAACGCUGGAAGAAGGACCGGCACGAACGAGAACAGCGGGUGCUGUCCUCACAAAGACAGAAAUGCCAUGAACCAAAGCUAGCUGUACAAGGCAAUGGGCAGAGUGGUUACUUAACCAACAUUGGAAAUGCACUUUUCAAGGAAAGAAAGGUGAGCCAGGAUAACUUAAUGAGGAGGGCAACUCUUAAAAAGGCAACUCUUAAAAAACUGGCCCCACUGCCAUUUGUAAAGAAGGCUGUGUACCCUAAAACUAGUGUGACAGCAGUAAGAUCCAAAGACACUUCCAGACUCAAAUCCCGUGACAUUUCAAAUAACAGAGAGAUUUCCAUCACCAUGUCGCCAAAAUCAGUUACACUGGAGACCAAUGUUUUGUCCAAACCUGGAGGCAAUUGUGGAGAUUCAAGUGCUAUCCUCACUGUUUCACAACUCAGUGAACAGAAUCCGACUGAAGAUAAGCAGAAAAUAUGUAAUAUCAUGGAGGAACACCAUGAAGUAAUCAGAGAUAUCGUCACUAUUGCGAUAAAUGAUAUGACGAGUAUCAUUAUCCCUGCUUUGCAGCAGGUCAAACGUGAGCGUUCGCCAGUUAAACAGAGCUCCUCUAAGGACAUACCAACUGCUCAUAAUGACCACCUCAGCCAUAUUGAGGACACCAAACCAGACAAUGGUAUUUCACAGCAUUCCAGUAUUUCACUAGUUACAGGACAUCUGUCCUAUCUGUCCCCCACUUGUUUAUAUCUGAAGCUUGAGGAGCCAGACAGUAAUGAGACUGAAUCACUCUUGUGUGGCAAACUUUGUAUCCUAAACGCUGACCUGCUGAAUAAAGCGGAAAGUUUCAUCUGGAAAGCAAUACGUGAAGUGAUGGAAGAAAUAGAAACCACAGGGUCCUCCUCUGUCGACAGAGUUGAGUCUGAACCUCAGUGUAGUUCCGAUGAAUAUUGCCAUCAUUUGAAAUCAACAACAUCCAGCACACAUGAAGGAUUUUAUGACGGUGACAAAACACUCCAAUCCGAACAGUCUGUUUCACUGACAAACCCAAACAUACAGUGGGAUGCUGUAGCCUGUAGAGAGCAGAUGUUCAUGGAUCCAAGUGCCAAAAAAACACAACAUGGACAAGACAGUUGGAAUCAAGUGAAAAUCCAGUUCCCGGAGCCAAAGCUUUGCUCGAGUGAACACAGCUCCUCCUUCGACACAACACAGAGGAAUCUGAUCUAUUCACAGUUUGUGGAUGAUGUUCUGGCAAAAGUGUAUUCCUUUGUUGCUGAGGAAAGUGUUGAAGGUGUUUCACAGACAGAAACAAUCUGCUCAUCAUUUUCAUCAUCAUGUUCAUCCAGGAUGCACACCGAAUGCCUCCCACUUCAGGCAGACAAAUCCAACAGUACCCCUGUGUCAUGUGCUUCAACUAGAUGGGAACAUCAUGUAGAGAAGGCUCGAAGAAAUACUAGUGUCAGCCCAAAACUCCCUCUUGGGCGGUCCAUUAGACUGCUGGCUGCUGAGCCACUGACUCCAGAGGAGGAAGUGACUGUUGCUGAAACAGGUCUGUAUGCUGAUGAAAUGGUCAUGGAUAUUAUGAAUCAGAUCAAACAUGAAACAGAGGAACAGUCUGGAGAAAGUAAACACUCUGAGACACCAGACUCGUUCACUUGGUCUGAGGAAUCUGUAGUUAUGAAUCAGGGUGUUGAUGUUCCGCUGGUUGUAAAAUGGAAUCCUUUAAGGACACCGAAAUUCCAUAUAUAUCAUGAAGCAGUUGAGAUUUGUCAUCAAAUUUUCCUCAGUAUCAAAAGGCAGCUUGAUCAAGCAUGUUCCAACAGUGAGACUGAUGUUUCUAAAGCCAUGGAAAAAGCAAUUAUUUGUGAGUUUGUUGAUUUUGUCCAGGACAGGCUGAGCAACAUGUGUGGACCAAAUAAGUGUUCCAUUACUAAAAAUGCUGAAAUGAAGAGAAAUUUGUCAGAGCACUCUCUAGGGUGUGAGUCAUCUGAACCUGAAAAAUCACUGAAAGCGUCCGGGAUAAUGGAAAAGGUCAAGAUGCAGUUUGAAAAAGCAGCUCAACAGCCUGUUAAAGCUGUUCUUGAAAGUGCCCUUAGUGAUUUUUUCUGUUGGGAUGUCGAUCUCUCUAAAUGUGCUUCCACUGAAAAUCUGCGAUCAUGCCAGAAUCGCCCGAGAGCCAUGAGUAAAAACCAGACAGACCUGUCACACUUAGCCAGUGAUAUUAUCUUGAUUGUGUGGGAGAAGUUGAUUGAAACCUCUGGUUGUGAGAAAUCUUGUGACAGUGAAGCAAAACUGAAGAACUUAAUCAAAGCAAUAUCUGAAAUAUCAUCUCUCAACACUUGUGCUGCCCAUGCAAACACAACUGCAUUGGGAGCUGAACUUGUCCUGGAGGGAAUUAACCGUGCUGUUGAGACCAAGCUGAUGCAGUUUAUUACUCAACAGUCUGUGGAUGACCAAAGAGCAACGGACAAGACUCCCUUGGUCAAAAAGACAGCCCAAGUAUACAGAUCUUUAGAUGGCAUGAAUUGCUUCAGCAAUCCAGUGAACAGUCAUGGGCAAGAUGUUCAUGGUUGUGUGCCUUCCACACCCUCAGAAAGUGCAUUUAAACACAGCCACGAACACAAUCUUUUUCCCAAACAGACAUACACCGCUUCUCAGCCCUCAUGCAGUUCAAGUCCCUUUGUCAGCAGUUCAGAGCUUGACAACUUCCUUGGAACUCUUUCAAAAUCAGCCAUGUCUCUUUUGAAGGACACUUAUGGAGAACAAGUUACAAACCUGAAGAUAAAGAAGGACGUCAACACAUGUCUAGCAGAUCCUACUUUUGAGGGUUUGGUGAUACAGCCAGAUGCUAACGGAAGAGAUGUGAUUGUACAUUGUGUUGCUGUGGAAGAACUGUUUCCAUUAUGCCAGGCGAGGUCUCUAGAGAAUGAGAGGAACAAUGAAAGGUCAACGCACACUCAACCAACUACAAAGCCACCAGAAGUUAUUUGUCCAGGUUUUCCAGAACAGAUAAAUAUUGUGGACAAGGCAAGUGUAAGAAUUCAGGGUAGUCAGAUCAGUCAGCCCAAAAACCUAGCCAUAUCCUCUCCUGCAGCCACCACCACCCACCUUUUCAAACCCACCAUUGAGACAUUUGUGGCCAAAGUGAUAGACAAGUGCAUGCAGGGUUCAAAAUUGAUCACAAAACAGGGAGAACUGUCCUAUGAGAGACACAGGAUGAAGGGAGCCAUACAUGCUUCUGGAUCGCCCCAUAAAGUGCUUUCUGACAUGACUCGAUCUUUGAAAGACUGUCGACCACACAGCGCUGCAGCACACUCAAGAGGGGAAAAACAAACUUCCGGACCCAGGCCUAGCACUGCACUUAAUGUGUUGGACCUCCAUAGCCAAAGCAAAUUCAGGGAAUCUCGGACACAAACCAGUUCUGCAUCAAGAACACCCUUGCAUCACCAAGAUAUGUUUUGGAAAAACUUUCGAAAAGCUCAGUCAGCUGUGAGCCCUGUCACUGAUGGUUCUGGUAAAGGACUCAGUCCUGUGAAGGUCAAUCCUGUUAGACAACAGGGGAAUGGAGACAAAAGCCCUUUGCCAGCCCCAGGCACUGACAGGUCUAUCCCAAAGGCGUUAACAAAAACUAUCAAGGACAUUGUGGCUAAAUUGUUGGUCAACAUCUAUUCUGAUGGGCCUGAUACUCCUGGUGCUUCCAGUCCUAUCCUUGAUCCAACCACCUCAAAUCUUCUGGACCGUGUGCUUCUGCAGAUGGAGAGAUUUCAGUAUCAACUACUGGAUGAAGUGGGUGCUGAACAGCUUUUCUCCACAUACAUUGACAUACAGAAGGUUGCAAAUUCUGUCUAUCAAGACUUGCUCAGUUACAGUGGCAGCUGUGAAAAUUUGCAUCUUGCCAUUUCUGCAUGUGACGAUCACUUAGUGAAAAAGAUUGCAAGCUCACUGGCCCAAUCAUUGUCCAGGAGUAUCCAGAACACAGAUUACCUCAGGUAUGAUAACCUGAGCACAGCCUCCACUCGAUUGAGCUCCCUAGCGUCCACUACAUUGAGUACUCCAACAUCCUGGGUUACUGAGGAUGCAUGCACAAUUUCUGAGGACAUAACACUUAGAUCUGUAGACCUAAUAUCAAUUCGUUCCUUGGAGAUGGCAGAAGACCUGAUGGAUGCAGUUAUGGUUGAACUCUAUGCUGACCCUGCCAUGUUUGGCACCCCACAGCCAAAAGACCUGGACUGGCCCCAGCUUGCUCUGGCUGAACUGAAUCAAGCAGCAACAAUGGUCUACAAACAUAUGUUAGAACAAUGUGGCUCAGUGGAAAACCUCCAAAACGCUCUGAGAUCCAGGGAAAAGCAAGUGGUCACCACAAUGGCUGGUGCAAUCGCUUCUCAAACCUACAGGUUAAUCUCUAUGAAGGAAUCAAGUGGCACCCCUUUACUCGAUCAGACAUCUAAUCUCAAAGAAUUGUCAUCCAUAAGCAGUUAUCCACAGCUGUCUCCUGGUCAGUGUUUUAUCUUUUACCAGACAGUAUGGGAUAUCAUCUCAACACUUUUGCUGGAACUGUGUAAAAAAAAAAAACGUGGACAGCAUCUCACUCCAAAUCUUUUUCUAAAGUCUCUGAGCACACUGUCAGAGUGCCCUGGAGUAAAGAUAAGUAAUGAUAAGAAACAAUGUGACAUCUCCAGUGAUUCCAGUGCCAUUGAACGGAUUGUGCUUGGGGCACAACGAAGACUCAGUGAACAUCCUCACUACUGGAGUGCCCUGGAGUCUUUGUUGAUUGCCAAAGAUGAAGCAGCAGCUUGGAGAGUUGUGAUCACUGUUGUCGAAGAAAUAUUGAAAUUUGCAUCACAUCCAUUUGGUGUCAUCCCAGUUCCAGCCUCAAGUUUCUACCAUGAUGAAGCUGAAGGUGAGGCGACACAUGGUUCUGCUGAUGGCUCAAACAAGCAUGCUGAUCUCCACCAGGACUACUUAGAUGUAUGUAGUCUACGUGCUGGCUGGCCAGACAACCUUAGCCUUGAUAUGACUCCAGUGUCACCUGUUAGUGUAACCAGGGGCUCUAUCCAGUCAAGCGCAGUUGGCUCAAAGAAAGUGAUGUUCAGAUCUUCUACAAAAGUUGAUUACUACAGUAAAUCACAGGUUCCAUCCAAAAGAAGGUCUAAAAUGUCUGAUGAAGCAGAAUACCCAUCCAGUUGCUUGAGGGGCACUAGAGUGAUAAGUGUCAAAAUAAAAAAGGUAAGGAUGACAUUAUAUGGCCUUUUACAUAUUCAUAAUGAUUAUACGUAAUUAAAUAUUCACCCUGUCUGUCUUUGUGCCCCUAAAGUAUUCUAGUAAAGGUAGAGCUGCAAGACCAAGGAGGUACAAAAAUUAUGAGGAUAAUUCAAAUCACGAUCAAAAAGACACGGAAAAACAGGGAAAUAGUCUUGGAUCGCUCCUGGCAAAAUUCUUUCAUCGAAACUAGACACAGUGACUUAUUUCAAUAAAGUUCAGCAGCAGUGAA